rnacentral:snRNA from 1 species
GUGCUCGCCUCAGCAGCACACAUACUAACAUAGGAGCGACACAGAGAUCAGCUUGUCCCCUGUGCAGGGAUGACAUAUAAAGUUGGGAAGAAGGAUGCAAUAUU